CCUACGGGUGGCAGCAGUGAGGAAUCUUGGUCAAUGGACGAGAGUCUGAACCAGCCAAGUAGCGUGAAGGAUGACUGCCCUAUGGGUUGUAAACUUCUUUUAUAUGGGAAUAAAAUGUUCCACGUGUGGGAUUUUGUAUGUACCAUAUGAAUAAGGAUCGGCUAACUCCGUGCCAGCAGCCGCGGUAAUACGGAGGAUCCGAGCGUUAUCCGGAUUUAUUGGGUUUAAAGGGAGCGUAGGUAGAUUGUUAAGUCAGUUGUGAAAGUUUGCGGCUCAACCGUAAAAUUGCAGUUGAAACUGGCAGUCUUGAGUACAGUAGAGGUGGGCGGAAUUCGUGGUGUAGCGGUGAAAUGCUUAGAUAUCACGAAGAACUCCGAUUGCGAAGGCAGUUCACUGGACUGCAACUGACACUGAGGCUCGAAAGUGUGGGUAUCAAACAGGAUUAGAUACACCUGUAGUC
rnacentral:rRNA from 1 species